GGCCGUUUUCCGGGGAUUAUUGGGCGUAAGAGCUCGUAGGCGGUUUGUCGCGUCUGCCGUGAAAGUCCGGGGCUCAACUCCGGAUCUGCGGUGGGUACGGGCAGACUAGAGUGAUGUAGGGGAGACUGGAAUUCCUGGUGUAGCGGUGAAAUGCGCAGAUAUCAGGAGGAACACCGAUGGCGAAGGCAGGUCUCUGGGCAUUAACUGACGCUGAGGAGCGAAAGCAUGGGGAGCGAACAGGAUUAGAUACCCUGGUAGUCCAUGCCGUAAACGUUGGGCACUAGGUGUGGGGGACAUUCCACGUUUUCCGCGCCGUAGCUAACGCAUUAAGUGCCCCGCCUGGGGAGUACGGCCGCAAGGCUAAAACUCAAAGGAAUUGACGGGGGCCCGCACAAGCGGCGGAGCAUGCGGAUUAAUUCGAUGCAACGCGAAGAACCUUACCAAGGCUUGACAUGAACCGGUAAGACCUGGAAACAGGUCCCCCACUUGUGGCCGGUUUACAGGUGGUGCAUGGUUGUCGUCUGCUCGUGUCGUGAGAUGUUGGGUUAAGUCCCGCAACGAGCGCAACCCUCGUUCCAUGUUGCCAGCGCGUUAUGGCGGGGACUCAUGGGAGACUGCCGGGGUCAACUCGGAGGAAGGUGGGGACGACGUCAAAUCAUCAUGCCCCUUUGUCUUGGGCUUCACGCAUGCUACAAUGGCCGGUACAAAGGGUUGCGAUACUGUGAGGUGGAGCUAAUCCCAAAAAGCCGGUCUCAGUUCGGAUUGGGGUCUGCAACUCGACCCCAUGAAGUCGGAGUCGCUAGUAAUCGCAGAUCAGCAACGCUGCGGUGAAUACGUUCCCGGGCCUUGUACACACCGCCCGUCACACCACGAAAGUCGGCAAUACCCGAAGCCGGUGGCCUAACCCGCAAGGGGGGCAGCCGUCCAAGGUGUAGUUCAUGAUUAGGGUGAAGUCGUAACAAGGUAAC
rnacentral:rRNA from 1 species